rnacentral:tmRNA from 1 species
GCUCUUUCUAAUCUUCCUGUCUUUGCUUAUAUUCUCUUUCGCCGCCUUGCGCGGCUAUGGCGAUAAACGACAUCGGAAUAAGCUUUUCGGACCCGGGGGCGGUACCCGGCGCCUCCACCAAAGUUCACCUUAUGAUCCGGAAUGAUCCAAUGGUGCGACACGAGUUGAAUUUUGGCGGGGGCGAAAUAGGUUCGACGGGAAGUCUAAAGGAUGAUCUUUUGCCCGGCAUGGUUCCGCCGUCAUCGGGCCGAAUCUAUAGUUGCCAACGACAACUAUGCUCCGGUGGCCCUCGCUGCGUAAUGCGGUGACGGUACCGAUUCAAAGCCCUUGCAGUUAGCCCUGUAAGGCGGGGUUCGGAGGCACCUGGCAACAGAAGCCUCCACU